ensembl:lncRNA
CUCGGGAGCUAUCUUUCUUGUUCCACAGUGCUGUGAACUGCUUUUUAGUAUCAAGUACGUCAUCCUGAGAAGUCAUCAGACAUUCCAGGAUAAAAUAGUGUGAGAUUCCCACAUUACAGGUCCUGGCCAGGUGGCUAGGAGUUAGGGCUGGGCGUUAUAUGAGUGUCUGUUAGGGAGGACUGAGGAGGAAUCCUGGCCACGGCUACUUUUAAUUGAACCUGUCAACAACGCACUCAGUUUCUACUGUUGCUCUCUUUCUGACGUUUUUAUACCUGUCGUUUUAGCUAUACAGCUAUAACUGUCAUUAUGUGCCACAACUCAACAACACAAAUGAGGAGAAAGUCGUGGUUGUGUUCGAUAUAAAAGUAUGAAUUACAGCACAAACAUAGUGUAGGUACAGGUAAGUGUAGGUACAGGUACGUGUAGGUACAGGUAAUUGUAGGUACAGGUACGUGUAGGUACAGGUACGUGUAGGUACAGGUAAGUGUAGGUACAGGUAAGUGUAGGUACAGGUAAGUGUAGGUACAGGUAAGUGUAGGUACAGGUAAGUGUAGGUACAGGUAAGUGUAGGUACAGGUAAGUGUAGGUACAGGUAAUGGUGUUGAUGUGAGCCAUUACCAUGCUUUCAAACCACUUCAUGGCUACGGACGUGAGCUCUACGGGUCUGUAGUCAUAUUUGCAGGUUGCCUUUGUGUUGUUGGGCACAGGGACUAUGGUGGUCUGCUUGAAGCAUGUUAGUAUUACAGAGUCAAUC